rnacentral:rRNA from 1 species
UACGGAGGGGGCUAGCGUUGUUCGGAAUUACUGGGCGUAAAGCGCACGUAGGCGGCUUUGUAAGUUAGAGGUGAAAGCCCAGGGCUUAACCCUGGAAUUGCCUUUAAGACUGCAUCGCUAGAAUCGUGGAGAGGUGAGUGGAAUUCCGAGUGUAGAGGUGAAAUUCGUAGAUAUUCGGAAGGAAACACCAGUGGCGAAGGCGACUCACUGGACACGUAUU